GCUAAUGCCGUGCAUGGAGCCGCGGUAAUCAGGAGGGGUGAGUGUGUAAUCGGAAUUACUGGGGGUAAAGAGUGGGCAGUGAGCUUAUUAAGUCAGAUUUGAAAUCCCGAGGCUCAACCUAGGAACUGCAUUUGAAACUAAUAAACUAGAGUAUCGUAGAGGGAGGUAGAAUUCCAGGGGUAGCGGUGAAAUGCGUAGAUAUCUGGAGGAAUACCAGUGGCGAAGGCGACCUCCUGGACGAAAACUGACGCUCAAGCACGAAAGCAUGGGGAGCAAACAGGAUUAGAUGCCCGAGUAGUC
rnacentral:rRNA from 1 species